UGACAGACAUGUUCUCAGUGUCUUCAUCCCAAUGGCCCAAGGAGCCAGCCUCUCAGCAGGCCACCAGGAGGGUCCUCGGGGCUGACUGGACUCCGCCCCAUCAGCCAGGCGUCCAACUGGAGUAUCAUUCAGCAAUAAAAAAGAAUACACUGCUGAUUCAUGCUGCCAUGUGAUGAACCUGGAAACAUGGUGCUGAGCGAAUGGAACCAGAGGCAAAAGACCACACAUUGUGCGAUUCCAUUUAUAUGAGCAUCCUGUUUCCAUGACAUCCUACUCCAAUCCCCCAAACCCAGAGCAAGCCUGGUCAGGGGUGGAGAGUCACCAUGAAGUUGAAGAGCCCCGACCCAACCAAGCGAUGUCACAGGGGCUGGUCCAGGAUGGAGAUCCUGUCCAUUUGCUGGUGGCCAGAGUCUUAGGGUCACAAGGCCUCCAGCUGCUUGACUCAAAAGGGCACCCAGGACACAGCAGGCACUUGGGCUCUGUGGUUCUCAGUCUGGGGUGAUCUUGCUUCCUGGGGACAUCUGGUUCCACUUAUGGGUAGGAGACCUUCCCCAGCAGAUGUGAAGGCAAACAUAUUCUUUCUCCCCAUGCUGUGGUAUCCUGGAGACCGGUGAGCUGGAGCUAGGAUGCCAUGACAUCAGCUCCUGGACCUGAGCUGGCACAGAGCCUGCCCAGGCAGUGUUUGCCGAGAGGAUGAAUAAAAGAGGGUCACCUUCCUUUUGACUCCUUGGGGUGAGUCUUCAGCCUUCUUUGGAAGAAGAUUUGGAAGUGAGGAAGAGAAAGCUAUGGGUCAGCUCAGACUCUGGAUGUCGACCACCUCUGCUCCCUCCCAGUUCCCCUGCCCGAGGCCCUGCAGUCCUGAGGGGGGCUGAACACGAGCAGACCAGGAGCUGGAGGAUGGAAUGUGUCCCAUUCUAGCAAUGCCUUUCGGAAAAUGCAGAGUGGAACACAAGCUGAAGUAGUUGUGUGUGAGGAAAGCAAUUGAGUGGCUCACAGAAUCCCCAGGAAGAAGAACACUCGGACCUUCUAAAGGCACAGGGACAAAAGGAAGAACCACAAGCAAAAUCACUCCCCAGAACUACUGCUGAUGCCCUGCUGGCUCCUGGGUGUCACCCAGUGGCACUGCGGCCGUACAGCUGCCGGACCCAGGUCGCUGCCCAGACCAGAAUCAGGGAGACCUGAUUCAUAGACCUGGCAGACCGCUGCUGGGAGACUUAGGGGUGACAUGAGUCCUCAAAGGACCCACCAGCUGGCUAGGUGGGGUCAGCUAGAGACAGCUUUGGGAUUCUGGUUUAUUGCUGGAAAUAAAAG